rnacentral:tRNA from 1 species
GGUAGCUCAGUUGGUAGAGCACAUGCCUGAAGAGUACGGUGUCGGUGGUGCAAACCCAUCUUAGUCCACCA